AGGCCUAUAAUGCAUGUCGAACGGUAGCACAGAGAGCUUGCCCUCGGGUGACGAGUGGCGGACGGGUGAGUAAUGUCUGGGAAACUGCCUGAUGGGGGGGGAUAACUACUGGAAACGGUAGCUAAUACCGCAUAAUGUCGCAAGACCAAAGAGGGGGACCUUCGGGCCUCUUGCCAUCAGAUGUGCCCAGAUGGGAUUAGCUAGUAGGUGGGGUAACGGCUCACCUAGGCGACGAUCCCUAGCUGGUCUGAGAGGAUGACCAGCCACACUGGAACUGAGACACGGUCCAGACUCCUACGGGAGGCAGCAGUGGGGAAUAUUGCACAAUGGGCGCAAGCCUGAUGCAGCCAUGCCGCGUGUAUGAAGAAGGCCUUCGGGUUGUAAAGUACUUUCAGCGGGGAGGAAGGUGUUGUGGUUAAUAACCGCAGCAAUUGACGUUACCCGCAGAAGAAGCACCGGCUAACUCCGUGCCAGCAGCCGCGGUAAUACGGAGGGUGCAAGCGUUAAUCGGAAUUACUGGGCGUAAAGCGCACGCAGGCGGUCUGUCAAGUCGGAUGUGAAAUCCCCGGGCUCAACCUGGGAACUGCAUUCGAAACUGGCAGGCUGGAGUCUUGUAGAGGGGGGUAGAAUUCCAGGUGUAGCGGUGAAAUGCGUAGAGAUCUGGAGGAAUACCGGUGGCGAAGGCGGCCCCCUGGACAAAGACUGACGCUCAGGUGCGAAAGCGUGGGGAGCAAACAGGGUUAGAUACCCUGGUAGUCCACGCCGUAAACGAUGUCGAUUUGAAGGUUGUGCCUUUGAGGCGUGGCCUCCGGAAGCUAACGCGUUAAAUCGACCGGCUUGGGGAGUACGGCCGCAAGGUUAAAAACUCAACAUGAAUUGACGGGGGCCCCGCACAAAGCGAUGGAAGCAUGGUGGUUUAAAUUCGAAUGGAACGGCGAAGGAACCUUAACUUGGUCUUUGAAAUCCAACAGAAACUUUUCCUAGAGAUGAGAUUGGUCGCCUUCGGGGAACUGGUGAACAAAGGUGUCGCAACGCGC
rnacentral:rRNA from 1 species